AACGAACGCUGGCGGCGCGCCUAAUACAUGCAAGUCGAGCGAGAAGACGUAGCAAUACGUUUGUAAAGCGGCGAACGGGUGAGGAAUACAUGGGUAACCUACCCUCGAGCGGGGAAUAACUAGCCGAAAGGUUAGCUAAUACCGCGUACACUCCUUGGACUUCGGUUCAGGGAGGAAAGCGAUACCGUGGGUAUCGCGCUCUUGGAUGGGCUCAUGUCCUAUCAGCUUGUUGGNGAGGUAACGG
rnacentral:rRNA from 1 species